rnacentral:rRNA from 1 species
UAAGUUAUCCGCCUGGGGAGUACGGCCGCAAGGCUAAAACUCAAAGGAAUUGACGGGGACCCGCACAAGCGGUGGAGCAUGUGGUUUAAUUCGAUGCAACGCGAAGAACCUUACCUGGUCUUGACAUACAGAGAACUUUCUAGAGAUAGAUUGGUGCCUUCGGGAACUCUGAUACAGGUGCUGCAUGGCUGUCGUCAGCUCGUGUCGUGAGACGUUGGGUUAAGUCCCGUAACGAGCGCAACCCUUAUCCUUAUUUGCCAGCACAUCAUGGUGGGAACUAUAAGGAGACUGCCGGUGAUAAACCGGAGGAGGGCGGGGACGACGUCAAGUCAUCAUGGCCCUUACGACCAGGGCUACACACGUGCUACAAUGGGAAGGACAAAGGGUUGCUAAGCCGCGAGGUGGUGCUAAUCUCAUAAACCUUUUCGUAGUCCGGAUCGGAGUCUGCAACUCGACUCCGUGAAGUCGGAAUCGCUAGUAAUCGUGGAUCAGAAUGCCACGGUGAAUACGUUCCCGGGUCUUGUACACACCGCCCGUCAUACCAUGGGAGUGGGUUGCACCAGAAGUAGCUAGUCUAACUGUUUACAGGGGACGGUUACCACGGUGUGAUCCAUGACUGGGGUAAAGUCGUAACAAGGUA